ensembl:misc_RNA Metazoa_SRP Metazoan signal recognition particle RNA
GCUGGGUGUGGUGGUGUGCGCCUGUAAUCCCAGCUACUGAGGAGGCUGAGGCAGGAGAAUCGCUUGAACCUGGGAGGUGGAGGUUGCAGUGAGCCAAGAUUGCACCACUGCACUCCAGCCUGGGUAACAGAGCAAGACUCUGUCUCAA